GUGAAUCAUCGAAAUUUUUGAACGCAAAUUGCACUCUCCUCGUAGAGUAUGCCUUUUUGAGGUUCAGCCUAUAAAAAAUCGACAUCGUGGCUUUUUCGCGGUGGCUGUCGUCGGAAAUGGGGUCAUCUUAAAUCCUUUUGGUUUUUAAGCGACUUAAAAUUUUCUUUUUGGUUCCAUGAACGUAUCUAAGAUUUAUUUCUUUACUCGUUUAUGGUAUCUAUUUUUAUUAGACGUGA
rnacentral:misc_RNA from 1 species